ensembl:lncRNA novel transcript
GGAACCAGCCAUGCAAAGAUCUGUGACAAGAACAUUCUAGGGCUAGAAUCUAGGACCACUUUGGACAUUCAAAGCAAAGGAAGGAAGAGGAAGGGGAGCAUGGGGGAGAUGAAACGCAAGGAAGGCAGAGUGUACAAUGUCUAUGUAAGCACAACAAGAAAGCAACUUAACUGCCUGCAGCAUCAGACCAAGUUCCUGGAUCAUAAGUUUGAAAGCAGCUUCUAGAUGACGCUUGUGGAUAUUUGGAAUAAUAUCUACUAAUUUCUGUUAAGCAGCUAUGUUUCAACUCCACUUCAAUAAAAACAGCCAAAUUUCUCUCCUGGAAA